GNNNAGAACAACAGGGAUUGCCUCAGUAACGGCGAGUGAAGCGGCAACAGCUCAAAUUUGAAAUCUGGCUUUCGGGCCCGAGUUGUAAUUUGUAGAGGGAGUUUCGGAGGCGGCGCCGGCCUAAGUUCCUUGGAACAGGGCGUCAUAGAGGGUGAGAAUCCCGUACGUGGCCGGCGGUCAAUUCCGUGUGAAACCCCUUCGACGAGUCGAGUUGUUUGGGAAUGCAGCUCAAAAUGGGUGGUAAAUUUCAUCUAAAGCUAAAUACCGGCCAGAGACCGAUAGCGCACAAGUAGAGUGAUCGAAAGAUGAAAAGCACUUUGGAAAGAGAGUUAAAAAGUACGUGAAAUUGUUGAAAGGGAAGCGCUUGCAACCAGACUUGCUCGCGGGUGAUCAACCCCCCUUCGCGGGAGGUGCACUCGCCCGCGAUCAGGCCAGCAUCGGUUUCGACGGGCGGAUAAAGGCUCCNGGAAUGUAGCUCCCCUCGGGGAGUGUUAUAGCCUGGAGUGCCAUGCGCCCCGCCGGGACCGAGGACCGCGCUUCGGCUAGGAUGCUGGCGUAAUGGUUGUAAGCGACCCGUCUUGAAACACGGACCAAGGAGUCUAACAUCUAUGCGAGUGUUUGGGUGAUAAACCCUGGCGCGGAAUGAAAGUGAACGGAGGUGGGAGCCCCUUUCGGGGGGUGCACCAUCGWCCGAUCCAGAUGUCUUCGGAUGGAUUUGAGUAGGAGCAUAGCUGUUGGGACCCGAAAGAUGGUGAMCUAUGCCUGGAUAGGGUGAAGCCAGAGGAAACUCUGGUGGAGGCUCGCAGCGGUUCUGAYGUGCAAAUCGAUCGUCAAAUCUGGGUAUAGSGGYGAAAGGCAAGCUACCCGGUUAAUUAUUCUUUUAGGGACAUAUMUGCUAACAAUUUUUACAGACUAAUCGAACCAUCUAGUAAAUCGCUACUAGAAAAACUACACGAAGAAUAGGCUGUACACGCCAUAGUAGUCCCCCGAUUUUGGGGGGGCCACACCGCCGGUCUUCGGGGAUACCUUUCUGGGGUUACCCGUACUGAGCCCGAGGCUCAGUCACAGACUAAGUGACGGUGGCCGCGGGAUGAGCCUGCGGUUAGGAUAUAGUCGGCGGACCUC
rnacentral:rRNA from 1 species